ensembl:rRNA 5S_rRNA 5S ribosomal RNA
UUCACCAGCCAAAUCACCUUGCAUCCCAAGACAGGUUACUCACUAAAGCUAAGCAGUGCUAAGCCUGGUCAGUACCUGGAUGUGAGACCACAAGAGAAAACUAGGUUGCUGUUGGAA